CUUAUUCAUACAGUCUAUGGUCCUGAGUGCUGGAGACUGUCUCCUGAUGCAUUUUGGGGGCUAUGGCGAAUUAUCUUCCCUUAAGAAAGUAAAAUUGUGAUUUGCUUAAGCAGAAGCAUGGGUAAAUUCCAGUCCAAACUUGGUUCAAAGCGAAGGCAGAGUCCCGAAGGGGGUAGUUUGACAUCCAAUGUGCUGAACUGUCAACAGGAGCCAGAGCAAAUCCACAUCCACAAACUGACAGAGAACUUGUACUUAGAGUUAAGGGGGGGGAAGUCUGACAGUAGCAGAGACCGUAAAGGGGCUCUCCCACCAAAGAAAAGGUCUGAUAAAAGUCACAGCAUCCACCUCCAGGUUCAAAAACAGACAAAGAAGAGGGGCAGCCAUGCUGGUGCCACAGAGUGUAACAUGGAGCCAGAUGAGGACGCACAGCAGGAGUGGGUUUUCACACUGUACAACCAGGACAACAAAAAGGGUAAGUCAAGCCUUAUACGCUCCAUAUACGAGGUGUUAGAGGCAUCAGUCAAGCAGCCUUGCAAUGCAACCUUCCCCCUGAGGAUAAAACUAGUUAUGAUGCCGUCAACUCACACAGAGAAGACCUCACAAAGUGCAGCAGAGAAAAAGGAGAGUGUGUUUCAGGAAGCCCCAGUUAGAGGACUUUUUUGUGUGGAUGAAAACAAAGAGCGCAGAAACCACUACAUGGAUCUUGCUGGCAUUGAAAACUACGCCUCCAAAUUUGAAGACACAGAGUCUCCCUUUGUGACGUCAAAACAGAAAGCCCACUAUGCUCCUCGGCACUACCCUGUGGUGAUCAGUGAGAACUGCACCACCUCUGACUCUCCAAGGGGUGUCUCCAGCCCUGGUCUCUUGAGAAGCAAGACCAUGUCUGUUGGUAAAGAGAGAAAUGGAGGAGAGGGAAAGUCCCGCAGGUUUCACAGUCAACACUCUGCUUCAUGCUGCCAUCAUGUCUCACACUCUCAGCCUGCAGCACAGCGCACUCACAGCAAGAGGCUUCGCUCCAAGGUGCAGGAUGCUGCCUACAACCCUUAUUUCUCCUGUGAAGCCCUGAAACAUGAGCAUCAUCACCAGCAUGAGCAUCAUCAUCAUCAUCACCACCACCAUCAAUACAGACCUUCAUAAAUCCAUUCAAAUAAGAAGGUGACAGGCAUCACAAAGAGGUGUGAAUAGUGACCAUUUCCCCCAUGGCAUUCAAAUGUUGUUCCAACUUAUCUUGCUGGCGAAAGUUGCAAAUAGACGCCGUCCCUGCCAAAGGACAUGAGACAGCUGCUUCUAUAAAUAACCCCCAACCUCUUUUCUACCACGAGACCCCGAUGCCCCGCUACUGCCUCACUACAGCAAGCCUGGCAUUGACAAACACACACAAGGCUGCCACAGACAAACAGACAGAGGGAAACAACAAAUCAUCAAUCACAGAAGAGGCAUAGCACGGACACAGAGCUGCUAGACUGCAGCUCUGAUCAACAGCAAGACAACUUGCAGAGAAACAAGGGUUAAAUAUGAAGACGCUGCGGUUUCUUGCUGCUGAAGGCUUCGUCCAGAGUGGCCUGAGUGCUCUGGACAAUCUAAACUCUGUGUCUUUUAAUCUCUACCCACUGCUCUUCAAGGCAUGCUACCUCCACGAGCAGACAGACCUGCUGCAUGCUUUGGUGCAAGCAUGGCCUCUUCCUGAGCUCAACCUGCAAAGACUCCUGGGAAAAACAGCUGAUUGUCAGAUUGAUCUCACCUCCUGCACCUGCCGCAUUUGUCUGGUGGCGAUUCUGACUGGCUUAAAGGAUUAUGUGCUGUCUCCUCCAAGAACCUACGCAAAGAACCUUCAUGUAGUGGACCUGACUGCCCUGAAGGACAUUGAGCAUCAAACCUGCCCCUGCAAAGUAACCCUGGGUAGAUGGGGAAGAACCCAGCUCCUGACCCAGAUGUGUUAUGAGACCAUGGUGGCCAUGCAAGCCAAUGAUGUGUCUCUGUCUGCCUUUGAAACAUCCAUUGAUGUACGUCUGAAUGGCUUCGUCACAGGGCGCAACUACGAGCUGGUGGCUCAGGCCUUCCUACUGCUCCGCUACUGUCCACUGAAGCUUCACUUUAUUGGUUUUCGGGCCGACUCCCUCACACUGAAGCAGCUGUUUUAUGUUCUUCGCCUGUCAGAACCUGAGUCCAUAGUGAGACUGGAGGUUGUUCACAAUGUUCCUCUAGGGGCCAUUCAUUUAGACGUACUUCUGUCCAGGGUGGAGUUCCCUAAGUUACAGUCUUUGACACUGCCAGCUGGGGCGUUGGAUGUGAGGAGGCUUGGCGCUGAUGACGAAGAUCUGAUGAGCACUAUCGGCAAUCUGCUGGCACAACUAAGCCGCCUGACUGAGCUCUACAUUGGUUUCUCCACUCUUACUGGACACCUGCGCAGACUAUUGAAUCCUCUUAACACCCCACUACAGUGCUUGGACCUAGCUAACUGCUGCCUGAACCGUUUGGACAUGACGUACCUCUCCAACAGCCUCCACAGCGAGGCCCUGGUCUGCUUGGACCUGGGCGGACAUGACAUCUUCAACUCUUUCCCCACUUGUUUCCACAAACUGCUAAGCCGCUGCUCUGCCACACUGACCAGCAUGGCCCUUGAGGAAUGUAGCAUAGAGGACGAGCACAUGGAUGCCUUCAUCAACUCUCUGUCUUGCUGUCAAAUGCUGGAGGAACUGAAACUUCUGGGAAACCCUCUGACUUCUGCUGCUCUGCGGAGGUUGUUCUCCACAUUAUCUGUAGGCUUUCCUAAGAUAAAGUACAUAGAGGUACCAAUUCCCAGAGAUUGCUACCCUGAAAAUGUCACCUAUCCUCUUGAUGAUUCAGUUCUGCAGAGCUACAAUAAUGAGCUGUUCCGGGAGGUCAGGGACCAGCUCACAGGGAUCCUGGAGACGGCUGGAAGAGGUAGUGUGGAUGUGUGUACGCCACUCAUGGGGGCUUAUGAUCCAGACAUUAAUGAAACCAGCAACGAGCUGGGUGUGUCCAUGUUAAAAUCUUUUAACAGUGUCAUUGGGAACUUUAUUGGAACGAUAAGAGAGGUGGACUGCAGGAGAUCACAGGCUCAGAAAGAGAACUAAUGGAUCUUAGUUUAAAGAUAAAAUAUAAGAAAAUAUGUGAACAUGAUUGAGAUCUUUAACAUUGAUCGAGUGAUUUAUUUAAAGCAAGGGCAAAUGUUUAAGUAGGACAGAAAUGUCCAUGCUUUUUUAAAUUAUAAGUUAUUCCUGUAGACAAUUUCUUGCUUUUCCCAGCUGUUGUUUGGCUAUCUGUUAAAUAAAUGUAUUUUCUUAGAUGUUGUUCAGUGAGCUAGAAACUACCAUAAAUGCUUAAUGGAGUUCUUCAAGCCAAAACUAUGAAAAUAGAUCCAGUUAACCCUUAUUUUUUUCCCACUGGAUAACAUUACAGGUUGUGCAACCAGUGGCUCCUGUAUCCUGUAAGCAAAAAAUAUGUUCCGAUUGUAGCUAGAUUUAGCUACAAUAUUGGUUUUAAUAGAUACUUGAAGUUUGUACGUUUUUAUGUCUAUAUGGUGUUGUAUAUAACUGGAUUUCUAAACUCAUUUUUAAUAAAUUCCAGAUCUGAUUUUA